GGAUGUGAGGGUGAUCUGGCUGUGACACCUGUCAACCCCCCCCCCCCACAUCACCAGGGUUGAUUCGCCUGAUCUGGCUGGCUAGGCAGUGUCUCCUUACUUUCUCACCACUCCCUGCGUGUCCCUCCCAAAGCUGCAUGUUUGACCAAAACUAGGAUGACCAUCCCCAAUAGAGGAGUAAGUAUACAAGUAGUUAUGCCCCCCUGCUAGAACCUCCAAACACACUCUCAAAAAUUAAAGAGAUGGAAGUGGUACAGUGGCUCAAGAGGUAGAGCACUAGCCUUGAGCUGAAG
ensembl:misc_RNA 7SK 7SK RNA